rnacentral:rRNA from 1 species
AUUGAACGCUGGCGGCAGGCCUAACACAUGCAAGUCGAGCGGAGCGGCGGACGGGUGAGUAAUGCCUAGGAAUCUGCCUGGUAGUGGGGGAUAACGUCAGGAAACGGGCGCUAAUACCGCAUACUAUCAGAUGAGCCUAGGUCGGAUUAGCUAGUUGGAGGGGUAAAGGCCUACCAAGGUGACGAUCCGUAACUGGUCUGAGAGGAUGAUCAGUCACACUGGAACUGAGACACGGUCCAGACUCCUACGGGAGGCAGCAGUGGGGAAUAUUGGACAAUGGGCGAAAGCCUGAUCCAGCCAUGCCGCGUGUGUGAAGAAGGUCUUCGGAUUGUAAAGCUCUUUAAGUUGAGAGGCGUUACCGACAGAGUAAGCACCGGCUAACUCUGUGCCAGCAGCCGCGGUAAUAC